rnacentral:ncRNA from 2 species
UGAUUCGUCAUCUCGACAGGUUCCAGCCGCGAGAGCGGGUGGAUGAAAAGGGAAGCCGGUGUGAAUCCGGCGCAGGGCCGCUGCUGUAAUCGGUCAGAGACUCGGGUGUGAUGCCACUUCGACGCGGCGAUGAGCCGGAUCGGGGGAAGGUUGCCCGAGAAUCGCUACGAACCGUAAGCCAGAAGACCUGCCUGUCGAGCGAUCGUCUU